rnacentral:lncRNA from 1 species
AGUUAUUCCAGCUUGUGUUUUUCUAGCCUCCUUGUAAUAUUCAGGUGAUACAGUCCCAGGUUAAGCACAGCUGGCCAAUUGAUAUACUUCAAAGGAAUCGGCACAAGACAUUUGGACUGGCACUGACUAAAUAAAUUGAAGAAGACAUUAACAAUACUUAUGGAAUCAAGUGCAUCUCAAAAUGUUGUCUGGAGAACCCUGUGGAUCCCUGAGAACACUUUUAGGAGUUCUAUUUCCUGGAUCCAACUGAGCUCCGAAGCUAAAAUGAUGAAACUGAGCAAGAUACAUUAUUCUGAUUUCUAAUCCAAAUACUGAUACUACAGGAAAAAAGCAAAAGAGAUACUUGGAAGACCACAAGUUCUGAGGAACAUCAAAAAAUGUGGGGUAUUCUGGGAAGUUUUUGAAGUUCUCUGAUGAUCAUUUGAACCCCUAUCAAAUCUCGGCAAAUCUUAGUAACAGAAGGACAUAAUAAGGUUAAUAAUUAACAGUAUAGUCAACAGCUUCAAGCAUUUAAUAGACCAACACAAAGCUAAAGUUGGCUAAUUAGCAAAGGGGACCAGCUCACCUCAAUAGCUAAUGGGGAAAAAUAAAUUAAGACUAAUUUGUUUUACA